UACGGGACGCAGCAGUGGGGAAUUUUGGACAAUGGGGGCCACAGUCCAGCCAUCCCGCGUGUGCAUUGAAGGCCUUCGGGUUGUAAAGCACUUUUGGCAGGAAAGACGGCACGGGAUAAUAUCCCGUGCAACUGACAGUACCUGCAGAAUAAGCACCGGCUAACUACGUGCGGCCGCGGUAUACGUAAGUUUAAGCGUUAAUCGGAAUUACUGGGCGUAAAGCGUGCGCAGGCGGUUCGGAAAAAAUGUGAAAUCCCAGAGCUUAACUUUGGAACUGCAUUUUUAACUACCGAGCUAGAGUGUGUCAGAGGAGGUGGAAUUCCGCGUGUAGCAGUGAAAUGCGUAGAUAUGCGGAGGAACACCGAUGGCGAAGGCGGCCUCCUCUGGAUAUUCUGUGCUCAUGCACAACGUGGGGAGCAAACCGGAUUGAAUGCCAGGUAGUCCCUGUUACUGAUGCUCCCAGGCCGGAACAUCAGGUAGUAACAGAGAGUUCGAUCAUGGCUCAGAUUGAACGCUGGCGGAUGUUUACAUGCAAGUCCGGGCAGCACGGACUUCGGUCUGGUGGCGAGUGGCGAACGGGUGGUAAUGGCGGAACGUGCCUAGUAGCGAGGAUAACUACGCGAAAGCGUAGCUAAUACCACUUACGCCCUUCAGAGAAAAGCGGGGGACCUUCGGGCCUCGCACUAUUAAACGGCCGUCUCGGAUUAGCUAGUUGGUGGGGUAACGGCUCACCAAGGCAUUGAUCCGUAAGCUGGUUUGAGAGGACGAUAGCCACACUGGGACUGAGACACGGCCCAGACUCCUACAGGAGGCAGCAGUGGAGAAUUUUUUGGACAAUGGAAACCUGAUCCAUGCAUCCCGCGUGUGCGAUGAGGUAACUUCGGGUUGUAAGCACUUUUGGCAGGAAAGAAACGGCACGGGAUAAUACCCCGUGCAACUGACGAAGUACCUGCAGAAUAAGCACCGGCUAACUGUGCAGCAGCCGCGGUAAUACGUAGGGUGCAAGCGUUAAUCGGAAUUACUGGGCGUAAAGCGUGCGCAGGCGGUUCGGAAAGAAAGAUGUGAAAUCCCAGAGCUUAACUUUGGAACUGCAUUUUUAACUACCGAGCUAGAGAGUGUGUCAGAGGGAGGUGGAAUUCCGCGUGUAGCAGUGAAAUGCGUAGAUAUGCGGAGGAACACCGAUGGCGAAGGCAGCCUCCUGGGAUAACACUGACGCUCAUGCACGAAAGCGUGGGAGCAAACAGGAUUAGAAUGCCCUGGCAGUCCCGCCUAAACGAUGUCAACUAGCUGUGUUGGGGCCUUCGGGCCUUGGUAGCGCAGCUAACGCGUGAAGUUGACCGCCUGGGAGUGAUUCGCAGGAAUUAAAACUCAAAAUUGUGAGGACCCACACAAGCGGUGGAUGAUGUGGAUUAAUUCGAUGCAACGAAAACCACCACCUACGCCUUGACAUGUCUGGAAUCCCGAAGAGAUUUGGGAGUGCUCGCAGAGAACCGGAACACAGGUGCUGCAUGGCUGUCGUCAGCUCGUGUCGUGAGAUGUUGAGUUAAGUCCGCAACGGCGCAACCCUUGUCAUUAGUUGCUACGAAAGGGCACUCUAAUGAGACUGCCGGUGACAAACCGAAGGAGAGAAGGUGGGGAUGACGUCAAGUCCUCAUGGCCCAUAUGGGUAGGGCUUACACGUCAUACAAUGGUCAGGACAGAGGGUCAGCAACCCGCGAAAGAGGGAGCCAAUCCCAGAAACCCGAUCGUAGUCCGGAUCAUGAUCUGCAACUCGACUGCGUGAAGUCAGAAUCGCUAAUUAUCAGCGAGGAUCAGCAUGUCGCGAUGAAUACGUUCCCGGGUCUUGUACACACCCGCCCAUGCACCAUGGGAGUGGGGUUUUACCAGAAGUAGUUAGCCUAACCAGCAAGGAGGGCGAUUACCACGGUAAGUUCAUGACUGGGGUGAAGUCAUGGCGCAAAGGUAG
rnacentral:misc_RNA from 1 species